rnacentral:rRNA from 1 species
AUUGAACGCUGGCGGCAGGCUUAACACAUGCAAGUCGAGCGGAGAUGAGGUGCUUGCACCUUAUCUUAGCGGCGGACGGGUGAGUAAUGCUUAGGAAUCUGCCUAUUAGUGGGGGACAACAUUCCGAAAGGAAUGCUAAUACCGCAUACGUCCUACGGGAGAAAGCAGGGGAUCUUCGGACCUUGCGCUAAUAGAUGAGCCUAAGUCGGAUUAGCUAGUUGGUGGGGUAAAGGCCUACCAAGGCGACGAUCUGUAGCAGGUCUGAGAGGAUGAUCCGCCACACUGGGACUGAGACACGGCCCAGACUCCUACGGGAGGCAGCAGUGGGGAAUAUUGGACAAUGGGCGGAAGCCUGAUCCAGCCAUGCCGCGUGUGUGAAGAAGGCCUUUUGGUUGUAAAGCACUCUAAGCGAGGAGGAGGCUACCUAGAUUAAUACUCUGGGAUAGUGGACGUUACUCGCAGAAUAAGCACCGGCUAACUCUGUGCCAGCAGCCGCCGUAAAAC